rnacentral:tRNA from 1 species
GUAGAUGCAGUUUAACUAAAACACUAGAUUGUGAUUCUAGAGACAGAGGUUAGACCCCUCUCAUCAACC